UAGGGAAUCUUCGGCAAUGGACGAAAGUCUGACCGAGCAACGCCGCGUGAGUGAAGAAGGUUUUCGGAUCGUAAAACUCUGUUGUUAGAGAAGAACAAGGACGUUAGUAACUGAACGUCCCCUGACGGUAUCUAACCAGAAAGCCACGGCUAACUACGUGCCAGCAGCCGCGGUAAUACGUAGGUGGCAAGCGUUGUCCGGAUUUGUUGGGCGUAAAGCGAGCGCAGGCGGUUUCUUAAGUCUGAUGUGAAAGCCCCCGGCUCAACCGGGGAGGGUCAUUGGAAACUGGGAGACUUGAGUGCAGAAGAGGAGAGUGGAAUUCCAUGUGUAGCGGUGAAAUGCGUAGAGAUCUGGAGGAAUACCGGUGGCGAAGGCGGCCCCCUGGACGAAGACUGACGCUCAGGUGCGAAAGCGUGGGGAGCAAACAGG
rnacentral:rRNA from 1 species